rnacentral:rRNA from 1 species
GAAGCUGGCGUCUUCGGCGUCCGCGUUGUAAUCUCGAGACGUGUUUUCCGUGCGGCUCUAUGGACAAGUCCCUUGGAACAGGGCAUCGUAGAGGGUGAAAAUCCCGUACUUGCCAUGGAAGUACCGUGCUUUGUGAUACACGUUCCAAGAGUCGAGUAGUUUGGGAUUGCUGCUCAAAGUGGGUGGUAGACUCCAUCUAAAGCUAAAUAUCGGGGAGAGACCGAUAGCGAACAAGUACCGUGAGGGAAAGAUGAAAAGCACUUUGGAAAGAGAGUUAAAAGUACGUGAAAUUGUCGAAAGGGAAGCACUUGAAGUCAGCCAUGCUGCUUGAGACUCAGCCUGGCUUUUGCUUGGUGUAUUUCUCGGUAGCAAGCCAGCAUUGGUUUGUGUCGUCGGAGAAGCGUAUGGGGAAUGUGGCAUCCUCGGAUGUGUUAUAGCCCUGUGCUGGAUACGACGACGCAGACCAAGGAACGCAGUGUGCCCUCUGGG